GAUACUAAGCCAUGCGAGUUUUUGUAGUAAUACAAGGCAGACGGCUCAGUAACACGUAGUCAACCUACCCUAUGGACGAGAAUAAUCUCGGGAAACUGAGGAUAAUACUCGAUAGAUCAUAAUGCCUGGAAUGGUUUAUGGUUAAAAUGAUUCGUCGCCAUAGGAUGGGACUGCGGCCUAUCAGCUUGUUGGUGAGGUAAUGGCCCACCAAGGCGAUUACAGGUACGGGCUCUGAGAGGAGAAGCCCGGAGAUGGGUACUGAGACAAGGGCCCAGGCCCUAUGGGGCGCAGCAGGCGAGAAAACUUUGCAAUGUGCGAAAGCACGACAAGGUUAGUCCGAGUGAUUUCUGCUAAAGAAAUCUUUUGCCAGUCAUAAAACCACUAGUGAAUAAGGGGUGGGCAAGUUCUGGUGUCAGCCGCCGCGGUAAAACCAGCACCUCAAGUGGUCAGGAGGAUUAUUGGGCCUAAAGCAUCCGUAGCCGGCUCUGUUAGUUUUCGGUUAAAUCUAUGUGCUCAACGCAUGGGCUGCCGAAAAUACUGCAAAGCUAGGGAGUGGGAGAGGUAGACGGUACUCAGUAGGAAGGGGUAAAAUCCUUUGAUCUAUUGAUGACCACCUGUGGCGAAGGCGGUCUACCAGAACACGUUCGACGGUGAGGGAUGAAAGCUGGGGGAGCAAACCGGAUUAGAUACCCGGGUAGUCCCAGCUGUAAACGAUGCAGACUCGAUGAUGCAUUGGC
rnacentral:rRNA from 1 species